rnacentral:lncRNA from 1 species
CAAAAUCCAUCAAGAAAACCCCAAAUUUCUCCAAAUCCCUCAAAAAAAAACCCUAAAAUGCUCUCAAAGAUCCCUAAAAUCCCACAAAAAACCCCAAAAUCCCACAAAAAAACCCCAAAUUUCUCCAAAUCCCACAAAAAAAAACCCUAAAAUGCUCUCAAAAAUCCCUAAAAUCCCACAAGAAAACCCCAAAAAUCCCACAAGAAAACCCCAAAAAUCCCACAAGAAAACCCCAAAUUUCUCCAAAUCCCUCAAAGAUAACCUAAAAUGCUCUCAAAAAUCCCCCAAGUCCCACAAAAAAACCCAAAAUCCCACAAGAAAACCCCAAAUUUCUCCAAAUCCCUCAAAAAAAAACCUAAAAUGCUCUCAGAAAUCCCUAAAAUCCCACAAAAAAACCCAAAAUCCCACAAGAAAAAGCCAAAUUUUUCCAAAUCCCUCAAAAAAAACCCUAAAAUGCUCUCAAAAACCCAUAAAAUCCCACAAAAAAAACCCAAAAUCCCACAAGAAAACCCCAAAUUUCUCCAAAUCCCUCAAAAAAACCCUAAAAUGCUCUCAAAAAUCCCUAAAAUCCCACAAAAAAAACCAAAAUCCCACAAGAAAACCCCAAAUUUCUCCAAAUCCCUCAAAAAAAACCCUAAAAUGCUCUCAAAAAUCCCUAAAAUCCCACAAAAAAACCAAAAUCCCACAAAAAAACCCAAAUUUCAACAAAUUCCUCAAAAAAAAAACCUAAAAUUCUCUCAAAAAUCCCUAAAAUCCCACAAAAAACCCAAAAUCCCACAAAAAAACCCAAAUUUCUCCAAAUCCCUCAAAAAAAACCCUAAAAUGCUCUCAAAAAUCCCUAAAAUCCCACAAGAAAACCCCAAAAUCCCACAAGAAAACCCCAAAUUUCUCCAAAUCCCUCAAAAAAACCCUAAAAUGCUCUCAAAUAUCCCUAAAAUCCCACAAGAAAACCAAAAUCCCACAAGAAAACCCAAAAAUCUCAAAAGAAAACCCCAAAUUUCUCCAAAUCCCUCAAAGAAAAAAACUAAAAUGCUCUCAGAAAUCCCUAAAAUCCCACAAAAAACCACAAA